rnacentral:rRNA from 1 species
UACGUAGGGGGCAAGCGUUGUCCGGAAUCAUUGGGCGUAAAGCGCGCGUAGGCGGCCCAGUAAGUCCGCUGUAAAAGUCCAGGGCUCAACCCUGGAAAGCCGGUGGAUACUGUCGGGCUAGAGUCCGGAAGAGGAGAGUGGAAUUCCUGGUGUAGCGGUGAAAUGCGCAGAUAUCAGGAAGAACACCCGUGGCGAAGGCGGCUCUCUGGGACGGUACUGACGCUGAGACGCGAAAGCGUGGGGAGCAAACAGG